AGCUCCAAUAGCGUAUAUUAAAGUUGCUGCAGUUAAAAAGCUCGUAGUUGCAUUUCCGAGGCAAGGGAUUAGUCCGACCUUUGGUGGGUAUUUAAUCCUCUUGCCUCGUCCUUGAGUGGUGCUUCUUGGUAUUAAGUUAUCGAGGAGAUAGCCGCUCAUCGUUUACUGUGAGAAAAUUAGAGUAUUCAAAGCAGGCUUAUGCCGUUGAAUAUACUAGCAUGGAAUAAUAAGAUAGGACCUCGGUACUAUUUUGUUGGUUUGAGAACCAAGGUAAUGAUGAAUAGGGACAGUUGGGGGUAUUCGUAUUCAGUUGUCAGAGGUGAAAUUCUUAGAUUUACGGAAGACGAACUACUGCGAAAGCAUUUACCAAGGAUGUUUUCA
rnacentral:rRNA from 1 species